rnacentral:rRNA from 1 species
UACGUAGGUGGCAAGCGUUGUCCGGAUUUAUUGGGUUUAAAGGGUGCGUAGGCGGUUUUCUAAGUCAGUGGUGAAAUACGGCAGCUCAACUGUCGAGGUGCCAUUGAUACUGGGGGACUUGAGUACUGAUGAGGUAGGCGGAAUGGACGGUGUAGCGGUGAAAUGCUUAGAGAUCGUCCAGAACACCGAUAGCGAAGGCAGCUUACUAAGGAGUAACUGACGCUGAGGCACGAAAGUGUGGGGAUCAAACAGG